UUUAAACCCUAAUUAUGGGUAGACUCCCCUUUAUCA
rnacentral:tRNA from 1 species